rnacentral:rRNA from 1 species
UACGUAGGGGGCAAGCGUUGUCCGGAUUCAUUGGGCGUAAAGAGCGUGUAGGCGGCCAGGUAGGUCGGUUGUGAAAACUGGAGGCUCAACCUUCAGAGGUCGACCGAAACCAUCUGGCUAGAGUCCGGGAGAGGAGAGUGGAAUUCCUGGUGUAGCGGUGAAAUGCGCAGAUAUCAGGAAGAACACCGGUGGCGAAGGCGGCUAUCUGGACAGAGUCUGACGCUGAGGCGCGAAAGCUAGGGGAGCAAACAGG